rnacentral:rRNA from 1 species
CCUACGGGAGGCAGCAGUGGGGAAUAUUGGACAAUGGGCGAAAGCCUGAUCCAGCCAUGCCGCGUGUGUGAAGAAGGCCUUCGGGUUGUAAAGCACUUUCAGUGGGGAAGAAAGCCUUGGGGCUAAUACCCUCGAGGAAGGACAUCACCCACAGAAGAAGCACCGGCUAACUCCGUGCCAGCAGCCGCGGUAAUACGGAGGGUGCGAGCGGUAAUCGGAAUUACUGGGCGUAAAGCGCGCGUAGGCGGUCUGAUAAGCCGGUUGUGAAAGCCCCGGGCUCAACCUGGGAACGGCAUCCGGAACUGUCAGGCUAGAGUGCAGGAGAGGAAGGUAGAAUUCCCGGUGUAGCGGUGAAAUGCGUAGAGAUCGGGAGGAAUACCAGUGGCGAAGGCGGCCUUCUGGACUGACACUGACGCUGAGGUGCGAAAGCGUGGGUAGCAAACAGGAUUAGAUACCCGGGUAGUC